UUUAUAGGGUGGCGGUUUCGGUGGCAGUGUGACAAGUUUUGUUACAUUGGCCAGAUGUUGAGUAUAUUCAGUAUGCCUACUGAGAUCAGCAACCAUGACUCUUUGUACAAGCGUGAAAAUGAACGUCUUCUUAAAGACGCUGCUGCUGUCCUAGCAGAAAAUAUAAGAUCUGUUUUUGAAGACUGGAACAGCUUUAGUAUAAAUGCUGGUGGUCGCUAUGGACAAUACCGGUUUAUAAACACAUGUGUUCUUGACUCACUCCUUGUUGGCCUUCACAUUUGUCACAAGCAAAAUCCAAAAUGUAGAGAACUUUUUCAAACGGAUGCUACAAUUAAUGCUGUCAUGAUAUUUUUAAAUGCAAACAAGUAUAAUGAGGCCAGAUAUCUUUGGUUGAUUAACUUGAAUCUAUUGACUCCAACUACUAGAUUCAAAAUAUCUGAAAUAAUUGAUUUUUGGAGUGAGGUCAAGGACCAUUUACCAGUGUUUAGAGACCUGAUAUGUUCUAAAGCCCAUUUCAGUGGAGAUGAUGGGGUUCAUGGAAUGGAUGAUAUUCUUCAUCAAAGCACCAAAAGAGCUUUUGAACCCUAUGGAAAUGUUAUGCUUUUGGGGAUAAAUUAUAAAGAGCCCAGUGUUAUACUGGUGUCCAAAGAUGAUGGUCUGGACACAGCUCCCCCAAUUUAUGUCACUGACACGUAUGGAAGGUAAGUAAUAAGAACAAUAUGUGUUAAGAAAAUGUUUAAUGUACAUGUUCACAUAAUUGUGCAGACGUGU
rnacentral:lncRNA from 1 species